UAGGGAAUCUUCCACAAUGGGCGAAAGCCUGAUGGAGCAACGCCGCGUGUGUGAUGAAGGGUUUCGGCUCGUAAAACACUGUUGUAAAAGAAGAAUGACAUUGAGAGUAACUGUUCAAUGUGUGACGGUAUCUUACCAGAAAGGAACGGCUAAAUACGUGCCAC
rnacentral:rRNA from 1 species